rnacentral:rRNA from 1 species
GUGGGGAAUAUUGCGCAAUGGACGAAAGUCUGACGCAGCGACGCCGCGUGUAGGAUGACGCCUUUCGGGGUGUAAACUACUGUUGCCCGGGACGAAACUCCUUUUUCGAAAGGACUGACGGUACCGGGUGAGGAAGCACCGGCUAACUCUGUGCCAGCAGCCGCGGUAAUACAGAGGGUGCGAGCGUUGUCCGGAAUCACUGGGCGUAAAGGGUGCGUAGGUGGCUUGGUAAGCGUGUGGUGAAAGUCCGGGGCUCAACCCCGGAUCUGCCGUGCGAACUGCCGAGCUCGAGCAAUGUAGAGGCAGGUGGAAUUUCGGGUGUAGCGGUGGAAUGCGUAGAGAUCCGAAAGAACACCAGUGGCGAAGGCGGCCUGCUGGGCAUUUGCUGACACUGAGGCACGACAGCGUGGGGAGCAAACAGGAUUAGAUACCCCAGUAGUCC